CGUGAUUGAGUGCUUCCAAUCUCACGCGAUAUGACGUUUACUGAGCGUCUCCGAUCCGUCGUCCUUUUGAUAUGUCGAUUGAUUCGUUCUAACUCUGAUUAGACGUUGCGAUUUAGCACGGAAUUUAUCGUCGCCGAUAGGCGUUCGCUCACCCCACGCCCCAUCCUUCGUCCGACGGAAUAUUUCUUCUUAUAACAUAUCGAGUUGAUACCGAUUCGCCAGCGAACGCAAUUUGCACAGAAAAUUUAGGGAAAAUUGUGAAGUUCGUGAAGAUCCCAAAAAUAUUAAAAUGAAAAAUAAAACAGGAAACGCGGCCGUAUUGUAGAAUGUGGUAUCGUGUAUAUGAAUGCCAAUCAAUAUAAUUGUAACGAGCGCAUAUUGUCAUCCGUUACAAUUUUCCAUGCGGUUUUGAGAUCAACGUUUGGUUUGAUUAUAUAACAACCGAUAGGUUAAACGUCGUCCGAAGAUGAACGUCAAUUAUAAAAUAUUCGCUCGGUUGACAAUAGAUUUUCACGGCAUCGCAAGCGCGCUUUCAACAUCGUGGCUGCAGAAGUGUCAUUUCGCGCUCGUCGGCUGACGUCUUAAUUGCGCAAUUAGCGUCGAUCAAAUUAUAUGACGGUGUUGGAUGUUACAGUUAGAUUCUCCAUAAUUGCGAUAUUGCGAUUAGUCAACAACUCGUAUAAUAUCGAGUUUUUAAAAAAUUUUCGAAAUGCGCGAAUUUUUGCAUGUGUCUCACUGCGAUCAACUUUUCGUCUGAUAAGCAUUCAAUUUUUGUGUUAUACUUCAUUGUGCGGUUAAUUUCUGCUCAUUAAUUUCAGGGAGCACAGUUGGUGCAUAUAAUUAUUAAUAAAUUUAAGUUUCGCAAAUUGUGAAAGAGAUAUCUCAGAAUUUCGAUAAAUACCUAUUGGAACUUCUAUAAAUAUUCGGAUAUCCAGAUAUUCGAAUCCGAGAUCGGUUUCGAAUCAAAAACUCAAAAUAUUAUUUGGUAAUCCGGAUCUGAAUUCGAAUUUAAAUUUGAA